CCUACGGGAGGCAGCAGUGGGGAAUAUUGCGCAAUGGGCGAAAGCCUGACGCAGCGACGCCGCGUGAGGGAUGAAGGUCUUCGGAUCGUAAACCUCUGUCAGCAGGGAAGAACGGUCACGGUGCUAAGCAGCAGUGAAUUGACGGUACCUGCAAAGGAAGCACCGGCUAACCCCGUGCCAGCAGCCGCGGUAAGACGGAGGGUGCGAGCGUUAAUCGGAAGUACUGGGCGUAAAGCGCUCGUAGGCGGUAUGUCAAGUCAAGGGUGAAAUCCCCGCGCUCCACGUGGGAACUGCCUUUGAAACUGGCAACCUGGCGUGUGUGUGAGGCUAGUGGAAUUCCAGGUGUAGGCGU
rnacentral:rRNA from 1 species